ACCGAUAGCUACUUUUUCUUCACUGCGCUGCUCUCUUUCCUGCCAUACACAUACACACCGUGCGCAGACGAGAUGCUGCCUCGACCACAGACGUACCAGGCAAAGCCGUACGUCCCCGUCACCUCCGCCGCCAUUGACCCGUAUGAAGAGGGGCAGAGCUUUCUCGUCGAUAAUGAUCGCCUUGACAGCUGGUUCCGGUACGUGGAGGCUGAACUGCAGCGCUACCGCAGUCCCUUCGUCGCCGCAGAGGCACUCUUGACGGAGCUGCGGCUGCGCAGCCAUGAGCUCUAUCAGCCGGAGCGCCUCUACGUUUCGACGGCGCUGCGGAUACUGCAGGCGUGCGUGCCGCACCUCUCCAAGGAAACGGCGCAGGUGGCGCAGACCGCGGUGCACGAGCUUCUCCCGUGCCUUAUGUACACGCGCUGCACACCCCUGACGACAUCGUCAGAGCCGUCCUCGUCGAGGGGUCUCGAAAAAGUGACUCAACUGACCUACGCCGGCGCCUUCCGCCUUUUGCUGAAUCGGAUGCAGCAGUGCCAGACGCAGCUUCGGCGGCUCGAGCGACACGCUCGCGUGGAGGCAAAGAUGAUGGACCUUCUUGUGCAUGGGCUGGACCACAUGUGGCUGAAGAUGUGCUUCUACUCGUGGCGAACGUUUUGCAGACAACUGGAGAUGCGCAAGGCGCGUCUUCGACGACGACUGCUGCGGGUCACAGCCAACGAGGCGGUGCCCGCCUUCCUGCGCACGUGGCGGCAGCACGCCCACACGAUCGCAUUGGACGCCAAGACCUCCCGCAACAGCUUUCUUCAGAAGCAGGUGGAGGCACUGUACCCUCUCGAGCAGGAGGCGAAGAGCCGCUACGACCACCUGUGCGAGGAAAUCAAGGAGAAGAAUCGGCUGGCAGCUGACAGCCUAAGGCGACUGGAGGAGACGAAGUGCCGUCUCAAAGUGCUCGAGGACCUCAUCGCCGAAACGCAAGGCUCCCUCGCCGACCACUGGACGACUUGGAAGGAGUGCACACGGCUGAUGUUCGACGACAUCGGCGAACUGCCGGGCAAGACGAACCAGACACUUCGCACCGAGUACGUCAUGAAUAUCACCGACACGGCGUCGGCACUGUCGAGACGGGCUCGCGGGCGAGCUGGCCGGAUGGAACUGCGGCGCGUCGCACAGUUUCUCCUGUUCGAGGGGGAGCUCGGUGCUGACGCCGACACACAGACGGUGGGCGGGAUGGAGGGCAGUUUGAGCGCGAAGUCAGGCAUCGGCUCCUCUUCCUCCAUCUCCUGGCCUGUGCCCCACGACAGCGGCGGAAGAGCCCUCUCUGUGACCUCGAAACCGCUGGCCACCCACACAGUCCCCGCAAAGCCAAAGACGAUGGCCUCCCUUCAGGUGCAGCCGAGCGACCCGGAGCGGCAGUCAACCGUCUCUGCGACGAGUCUGGCCGCCAACGUGAACGACGUGUACUGGACUGUGGCGACCGUUGUGCAGCCAGUUCUGACGCCGCUUCACUUGAUAGACGUGCUGCAUCACAACGAGGCGCACUUGAACAUAACGCUCAGCUUUCUUUCCACCGUGUACAGCGGUGGCCACUGCUCUCUUUUUGCACCCGCGGCGCGAGCGGCGCAGAGGACCGAGGAGGCGCUGCUGCCUCUUCCCUCGAGUCAGGGCUUUGGCAAAGUGUCGCCGACAGCGGCGCCGAAGGACGGCAGCGACGACGGUGGCACCGCAGCUGCUGCGGAGGAUGUCAAGUGGGGCGCACUCAUGAUGCAGGAUGUGACGCGCGGCAUGGCGAAAGUGCAGGAUUGCGUUGAAGCGAACGAAGGCUACUUGCUGUCUGUGCGCCAGGGCAUGAUGAUGAGCGAGUUGGAGGUGUCCAGGGUACCUCGAAGACUUGUACAGGCGCUGGGCUGCCACCGGCGUACCCCUAUCGCAACAGAAGCUGGAGUCCGUCUGGCAGCCUAUCGUGACGCCAGCGAGGCUGCCCAUCCUUCAGGCGCUCUAUCCUGAGCAUGGAAUUACCUGCUUCACCGAGCUGGUCCACUACGUGGCCCGUGUGGCGGAGUUCAGCGGCUGCUCCUUGCAGGCGCUGGCAGAGCGGCUGGAUGCCACGUACCCGUACGACACGCUAGACGAACUGCGCAUUGUCAGGCGCAGUGACGAGGCCACGGAGCUGUUCCGCGCGCACGCGGCACACCUUGCCACGCUGCUGGUGUAUUUAAAGGACAAGGCGAACUCAUCGCAGUAUCACUGUGAUCACCUAUCUGUGCUUCUCGAACAGGAGUUCGGGCUGACGUCGGCGGAGGCAGCGGACAUCUCGCGCUACGCACGACAUGAGGGCGGCGGUGUGGUGAACCGCGACGACAUUGAGUGGCUUCUGCUGUUUUCCGCCCCGUACGUGGACCCCUCCCCCUUUACUUCUCUUUUGGAGAAGGUCGCGCGGCUGCUCGAGGACUGCACCCCGUUCUUUCAGCAACUCGCCAGGGCGGCGUCGGCGGCUACGUAAGCAUCCGAUGGGGCCGCCAGCGACGCUGCGGCGGCCUCGCGUAGAAGUUUACAAACUGCAAGGCAGGCUUGCGCCAUGCCGUGACCGCACAAUCCGUCGGCUACUCUUACAUGUAUGGUUACUUUCUUCACGCACUCAUGUAUACUAAGAUUUUUCGGAUUUUGGAUUGCCUAUUCCCGAUGCACGUUUACAUGCAUCCGCAGAUAAGACUACCACUAACAUAUGCGGGCUGCUCUGCACGCUCCCGAAAGCUGCAUUUCUCCCUACAUCCUGGAGAUGUGAGAGGGAGGAUGGUGCGGCGUGCGUGUGUGCGUGUUUGUUGUCUCGCGUGUGUUCCUCUUCCGAGUUACUUUCCGUUUUAAUGCCUGACCUAUCGCUUGCAGCACUCGACCUUUUUUUUUUCGUUGCUGUUGCCGCUCUCUCGUGCUCUUGAUCAUGCUCUGCCUGUCUUUGUCGAGCUGGUUGGUGCCCUUUUCCUCACUUCUACACCGAUGAAGCUGCAACGAACCAGCUGUGCGAUACAGCGAAGGGAAGGAGACGACACUUCUCAAGAUGUGUCUGGGCUCUCUUGACUACGCGGCUUGUGGUGCUUCGUACUCUGCCGCAUACUCACCGCUCCUCAGUCUUCUGUCGCUGCAUGUUUCUCGUUCUUCCGAAUAGAGGCAGAGAUAGGCAGAACCGCCCGGGCACUGUCAACUCGGUGUCUUUCUGUGCUGGCGUGUGCUUGUGUGUCUGACGCUUCAACCCUCUUCCGCUCCGUAGCGGACUCUCACACGUUUCUCCCGCAAG
rnacentral:misc_RNA from 1 species